AACGAACGCUGGCGGCAUGCCUAACACAUGCAAGUCGAACGAUUGCCUUCGGGUGAUAGUGGCGCACGGGUGCGUAACGCGUGGGAAUCUGCCCUUAGGUUCGGAAUAACAGCUGGAAACGGCUGCUAAUACCGGAUGAUAUCGCGAGAUCAAAGAUUUAUCGCCUGAGGAUGAGCCCGCGUUGGAUUAGGUAGUUGGUGGGGUAAAGGCCUACCAAGCCGACGAUCCAUAGCUGGUCUGAGAGGAUGAUCAGCCACACUGGGACUGAGACACGGCCCAGACUCCUACGGGAGGCAGCAGUGGGGAAUAUUGGACAAUGGGCGCAAGCCUGAUCCAGCAAUGCCGCGUGAGUGAUGAAGGCCCUAGGGUUGUAAAGCUAUUUUACCCGGGAAGAUAAUGACUGUACCGGGAGAAUAAGCCCCGGCUAACUCCGUG
rnacentral:rRNA from 1 species